CAGUAGCCACGGUAAUACAGAGGGUGCAAGCGUUAAUCGGAAUUACUGGGCGUAAAGCGCGCGUAGGUGGUUUGUUAAGUUGGAUGUGAAAGCCCCGGGCUCAACCUGGGAACUGCAUCCAAAACUGGCAAGCUAGAGUACGGUAGAGGGUGGUGGAAUUUCCUGUGUAGCGGUGAAAUGCGUAGAUAUAGGAAGGAACACCAGUGGCGAAGGCGACCACCUGGACUGAUACUGACACUGAGGUGCGAAAGCGUGGGGAGCAAACAGGAUUAGAUACCCCUGUAGUCCCUGUCUCUUAUAU
rnacentral:rRNA from 1 species